AUACUUAUCUGGCAGGGAAGAGACCAUGAUCAUGAAGAUGGUUUUCCCAGGAUGAGGCUAGCCUAUUGCACUUCAGGUGUGCUGAUGCCUGCGAUGUCCCCAAAUGCAGGAUACUCAACUGCGUAAUUUGUGGUAGUGGGGACUGUGUUUGCGCUCUCCCCU